UGGGGAAUAUUGCACAAUGGGCGCAAGCCUGAUGCAGCCAUGCCGCGUGUGUGAAGAAGGCCUUCGGGUUGUAAAGCACUUUCAGCGAGGAGGAAGGUGGUGAACUUAAUACGUUCAUCAAUUGACGUUACUCGCAGAAGAAGCACCGGCUAACUCCGUGCCAGCAGCCGCGGUAAUACGGAGGGUGCAAGCGUUAAUCGGAAUUACUGGGCGUAAAGCGCACGCAGGCGGUUUGUUAAGUCAGAUGUGAAAUCCCCGGGCUCAACCUGGGAACUGCAUUUGAAACUGGCAAGCUAGAGUCUCGUAGAGGGGGUAGAAUUCCAGGUGUAGCGGUGAAAUGCGUAGAGAUCUGGAGGAAUACCGGUGGCGAAGGCGGCCCCCUGGACGAAGACUGACGCUCAGGUGCGAAAAGCGUGGGGAGCAAAACAGGAUUAGAUACCCUGGUAGUCCACGCUGUAAAACGAUGUCGAUUUUGGAGGUUGUGCCCUUGAGGCGUGGCUUCCGGAGCUAACGCGUUAAAUCGACCGCCUGGGGAGUACGGCCGCAAGGUU
rnacentral:rRNA from 1 species